AGACUUUCUGGUCCAGGAAGGUGACUAGUGAGGAUUUGUCUUAUAAUAAGAGCUUUAUUUUUCCCAUUUCUCCAUGAACUUUCAUUACAUCCUUUAAGAAGAUAUUGUUAUUAUAGUCAUUUUUUGAUGGUCCUGUGGGUAAGAUACUUGAUGUGACAGAGGAGACAUAUAGAGUUUGGUUCUGCUGCAGACCUGGUUUUAGGCUAGAUCUUUAAAGGUGGUCAGACCCCUAAAGAAUAAUGAACAUCUUCAUCCAAGAAGCAAAAACUCAAAUUUGUUUGAAGCCUGAGUUGUAUAAAUUAAGAUCCAGAGAGAUCCUGGUCCUUACUCCAAAACCGGACUUGGUCAGACUUGAGGUGGGACUAAGCACACAGGGUGUCUGCCUGAUGAUUUUGUCACUUGCACAGCGGUAGUAGGAGCUGCAAAAUGAUCAAGAAUGUCAGAUUUUGUGCUGUCUCCACAAAGGCUCCCAAGACCUGCAGCUCUCAAAGGCUUUCAAGGACCUUGGGCGUUGAUUCUGGAGAUCCUGGGAAUACUUGAAUGGAAUUACUUCUUUUAGACUGAACUUCAGAAAACCUCAGUUGCAACAAACCUAGUCAAACCUGAAGUGUUUUUUUUUUUUUUUUCCUGACUCUCAGACCCUGGGAGCCUGUCUGGUGGCUUCAAGCCAUAACUCAGCUGUACAGCCCACCUGGAAGGUUUAAAAAAGCUGGCAGCUAAAAAAGUCACAAACUCUGGGAAUGAUGGCAUAUUCAGCUCUAUAGGCUUCAACGUUACAGCAGGAUGUCUGGGGCAAAAUUUCUAGAACUCAACGAGUACUAAAACCUGUUCCAAUGCUGGGCCCAAAGUUUUGUAGUAAAACUGGACUGCAAAUUAUUAAGUUGCAGUCAUAUUUAGAAAUGCUACUCAAAGACUUUCAGCAUGUUUGCACAGCAAUUAGCCUAAAGGAAUUGAAAAGAGAGGAGCUGAAAUAUGUACAAUAUGGGAUGAACCUAUUAUAAACGCUAAGUCAACAUAUUCCCUUCAGCUACCUUUAUGAUAUAUACUUAGUGCUAAUUAGGUCUAACUCUUUCAACUGCAAUGUUCUUAAAUAUGAGAUUUUUUUUUUGAAUUUUCCUUUUCUGUAGAUGUUUGAAUUGGAUGAGUGUUUGAAUUACACCGCAUGUAAGUCUCUGAAUUGCUGUAACUUAAUAUGAAGGUAUGGACAGAACAGUGCACUGUUAUGCGUUUGCUCAAAGUUAAUUUGUAUGGCUUUUAGCUUCCUGAGUUCUUCGCUGAGUUUAGAUUUUAUGAUCACGUAACUGAUAUUAGCUAUGAAAGUUGAACUGUCUGAUGACCGUUUUGUUAAGCUUUAGGAUAACAAAAUAGAUAAUGGUAUUUUUACCAUCAAUAUACCAGAUUUUAUUGAGAACAGGAUACUGGAGGAAAAAAAAAAAAAAAGCAAGAUGCUUCAUAGUCUGAUUCACUAAUAGGUCAGUUGUAGUUGUCUGAACCUGUCUUGACUGGAUUCUGGUCUCAGUCUCAUCAUAUAGCAUACCAACAUCUGCAGAGAUAGUUUUGACUUACACUGAUCCAAAGGACAGGAGAAUUCAUUCAACUGCAAAGAGCAAUGUAACAAUAGAAAAUGCUAUUUUUUCAUUUCAACCAAUUCAUUUCAAUAAUCAUUUCAAUCCUUAAACAGAACAUUGCUUCAAAUUUCAUAAAAUAGGGAGACUUAAAUCACAGUUCUUGGAAUUUCAAGUUCUAAACAGUUUAAUGUCAUAAAGAAUACCAAGUGAAUAUCUUUUAUUAUCUAGCAUUUCCUUAUUUUGAAACUUUGGCAAUUCUCAGAUUAUACAAAAGCUGAGUUUCAUUCAGCUGUUGGAUAUUAGUGUGGGCUGGUGACAUUAAGGCUGCAUACAAUAAUACUUAGGCAGAAUUUUCUCUAUCAAAUAUACUCUCAGUGUGCUAAUAAAUCAAACUCAGUAAUUCUCA
ensembl:lncRNA